GAGUUUGAUCCUGGCUCAGGAUGAACGCUAGCGGCAGGCUUAACACAUGCAAGUCGAGGGGUAUAGGUUUUCGGACCUAGAGACCGGCGCACGGGUGCGUAACGCGUAUGCAAUCUACCUUUUACAGAGGGAUAGCCCAGAGAAAUUUGGAUUAAUACCUCAUAGUAUUACGACUCGGCAUCGAGAUGUAAUUAAAGUCACAACGGUAAAAGAUGAGCAUGCGUCCCAUUAGCUAGUUGGUAAGGUAACGGCUUACCAAGGCUACGAUGGGUAGGGGUCCUGAGAGGGAGAUCCCCCACACUGGUACUGAGACACGGACCAGACUCCUACGGGAGGCAGCAGUGAGGAAUAUUGGUCAAUGGACGCAAGUCUGAACCAGCCAUGCCGCGUGCAGGAUGACGGUCCUAUGGAUUGUAAACUGCUUUUGUACGGGAAGAAACAACUCUACGUGUAGAGUCUUGACGGUACCGUAAGAAUAAGGAUCGGCUAACUCCGUGCCAGCAGCCGCGGUAAUACGGAGGAUCCAAGCGUUAUCCGGAAUCAUUGGGUUUAAAGGGUCCGUAGGCGGUUUGGUAAGUCAGUGGUGAAAGCCCAUCGCUCAACGGUGGAACGGCCAUUGAUACUGCUAGACUUGAAUUAUUAGGAAGUAACUAGAAUAUGUAGUGUAGCGGUGAAAUGCUUAGAGAUUACAUGGAAUACCAAUUGCGAAGGCAGGUUGCUACCAAUACAUUGACGCUGAUGGACGAAAGCGUGGGGAGCGAACAGGAUUAGAUACCCUGGUAGUCCACGCCGUAAACGAUGGGUACUAGGUUUAGCGGGUCUUGACCCCUGCUGAGCCGGAGCUAACGCAAUAAGUACUCCGCCUGGGAAGUACGGUCGCAAGACUAAAACUCAAAGGAAUUGACGGGGACCCGCACAAGUGGUGGAGCGUGUGGUUUAAUUCGAUACUAAGCGAAGAACCUUACCUAGGCUUGACAUCUCGAGAAAGCGCUGGAAACAGUGCCGUGCCGCAAGGAGCUCGAAGACAGGUGUUGCAUGGUUGUCGUCAGCUCGUGCUGUGAAGUGUCCCGUUCAGUCGGUUAACGAGCGCAACCCGCAUCCUGUGUUGUAUUUUUCGCAGGAAACUGCCUCAGUUAAUGGGGAGGAAGGUGCGGAUGACGUCAAAUCAGCAUGGCCCUUACGCCUAGGGCUACACACGCGCUACAAUGGGUAGUAACAAUGGGUCGCUAAGCCGCAAGGCGGAGCUAAUCCUACCAAAUCUACCCUCAGUUCGGAUUGGAGGCUGCAACUCGCCUCCAUGAAGCCGGAAUCACUAGUAACGGCCGGUCAGCCAUACGGCCGUGAAUACGUUCUCGGGUCUUGUACACAC
rnacentral:rRNA from 1 species